GGCUGCUCCAGAGGAACGUUUCUAAGAUUUCCUUUUCAUGGCUCAGUGGGCCACAGUAAAUCCAGAGUAAUAUUUUUCCUUGCAGGUGGACAUAUUCAUUUUUUGGGUUGUUGUUAGGUCACACAGAGUCCUAGGAAGUGGCCUAUUGUUCCAAGCUGGAAGGCAAAGGCGCGUAAGUAAGGAGUGGCAUUCUUAUUAGAGCUUUGAUGAAUGAAAGGCAAUCGUGAAGUUGCUUUUGUUCUUACCUAUGGGGCUCACGAUUGUUAAUCUAUAACUUGCUUUAUGGAUUCAAACUUAUUAAUCAUUUUAAAGCAAAAUUCUAUUUAAUGACUGAAAUGGAAAAUGAGGCCUUGAUGAAAUGAAAUGUCAAUCUGGCCCCAUUGGCCUCCCCGGCUGUGGCAAAGUGGCGGAAUCUGGAGUUGCCUCUGCCAAGAGGGUUUGGGGGAGCUGAGGUGGGCAAGGCUGGGGAAGGCCGGGAUGUUUCUCUCCACCGGGCAGAGCUCCUGGGUGGGCGCAGGCAAGGCCUGCCCUUCACCACGUUGGUGCAGCUACUGCCUCCCGGGAAGGUGGACCUGGCUCCGUUGCCUGCUCGGGACUGGAAAGCUGAGCUGAAAGGGUUCCGCCUCUCUGGCCAGAGCUCAUCUUGAGAAUUCUCGUUUCGUCUAUCAGUAGGACAUUUUAGGCUGCGUGAAAUAUUUUUUACCACCACGCUUCCACUUGGCCAUCAGAGCACUCUGGCGAGGUAAGCAGGGCUGGGUUCACUGUGCCCCGAGGUGGGUGAGCAACCCAAGUGUGGAGUGGCCGGGUCAUCCGCCCAGGUGGCCGAGCGAGGACUCCCGCCCAGGUCCCUGCAGUCUGGUGCUCCCUGUGGCCCCGCUGAGGGCUGGGCGGGAGCACCCAGGGGAUCAGGCCUCGGGGCAGAGCAGCGGGGGCUCAGGCCCUCAGAGCUGACAGGGGUCCCCGUGGCUUCACAACUUGGUGGGAAACGGAGAAAGUCAGCCCUGGCCGCGCUGGAGAGAAUGAUUUAGCUGCUUUAUUGCCCAUCUCUAGAAAGGAAGGUGGGGCCUAGAGGAGCGUCUGGAUGUGAUGGGUGCUCAGUGGUGAGUGGAUAGACGAGUGAAUGAAGCCAUCUAUCUCAGGGUCCUUCUCCAGGAGCCCAGAGGACACCUUCUUUGGCCCCUGAGACCCAUCUUGGCUCUUUCACCUCCGAGAGCUUUAGGUCGGUGGACCCGGGAGUCCUGUGGAGAGAGCACGGCCAGCACCUGCCGGCCCCAGCCAGCCCUGGAAGGAGGGUGCAGAAUCAUGUAAAGCAAUGGAUACAGUUAUUCUGCCAACAAUUUGGGGGUGAGGCUUCUGGGCCACAGCUUGCGGUAGGCUCUGGAGACACCACAGCAAACGGGGGGCCACCAUCCCACACGCAGGCCUGGGAGGGCACAGCAGAGAGAGCCGAGGCCAGUGCUGAGCGGGAGAGCCAACUUGAAGUUUGAGCUGCAUCUUUCCAGCUCCCCACUUACUUGACGGCUUUGAUGCUCGGUUCCCUCAUCCCAGACUCGUAGGGCUAAGACUUCCAACUGCGCCGGCUCCAUCUGAGGACCAGGGUUACGGCAAUGCUGGACAGUUGGCAUGGGAUGGUGUCCCGGAGGAUACUGGUUGAGACAGCCCGGCUCUGUGUCAAAAGUGAGAGGCCAAAUGUGGGCAGCGGCCAUGGAAGAUGCUGUUCUUGAAUCCCACUGCCAGCUCCACAGCCAUCGGGCCUUUGUGCAGCAGAACAGCCUUGGAGUCCUCGAGCCUACCAGCCUGCUUGGCAAACCUGCUUACGAGAAGAUCCUCAGGGUCACAGCAGCAAAACCACCAGGGUCACCAUGAAGACCUUAAACCUUUCCCUAAUGGAAACCAAAGAUUCCACCUUGUCUAACUCAUUUUCCCUGUGGUGCUUAACAACCCAGCACAUAUGGAACCUCGGGCUGCUUACCACAGUUUCUCCAGCUGCAAAAUGCAACAGGACAUUUUCCCAGAGCCAUCUGGGGUCUGACACCCCACUCAGGUUGGGCAGCCCACCCAGAUGACAACUGGAUUCCAAGCCGAGGAGAGGGUGAAGCCUGCAGCAGCCCUCCUGCUCAGCAGGUCUGUAACCCCCAGGCCCAGGAGUUCUAGAGGCCAGAGAUCCAAAAUCAAGAUGUCGGCAGGGUUGUGCCUUCUGAAGGCUCAAGAGAAGACUCCUUCCUGAUCCCAGCUGCUGGUGAUGCGGGGCAAUCCUUGGAGAAUCCUGGCUGAGAGCUGCAUCACUCCCAUCUCUGCCUCCGCUUUCACAGUUUUCCUUCUCAUGGAUCUCUGCAUGUCUGCGUCUUCAUCUUACAAGGACAUUAGUCAUUGGAUUGGGCCCAUCCUAAACCAGUGUGAUCACAUCUUAGCUCAUUUCAUCUGCAAAGCCCUAUUUCCAAUUAAGACCACAUUCUAAGGUUCUGGGAGGACAUGAAUUGGGGGGAGGAGUCACUAUUCAACCCACUACGGUUAUCCGUCCUUCCAUCUAUCCAUCCCUCCACCAUCCCUCCAUCCGUUCAUCCACCCUUCUAUCCAUCCCUCCACCAUCCCUCCAUUUGUCCAUCUAUCCAUCCAUCCAUCCCUCCAU